rnacentral:lncRNA from 1 species
UAGCAGAUAUGGAAGAAACCCAAAUAUCUAUCCAUGAAUGGAUGGAUAAGAAAUAGGUAUAUUAUAUGUGUGUGUAUAUGUAUGUGUAUAUGUACAUAUAUAAAUAUAAGAAAUAUACAUUUUAUAUAUAUAUAUAUAUAUAUAUAUAUAUAUAUAUAUACACACACACACAUGAAUAUAUAUACACCAUGGAAUAAUACUUAGCCAUAAAAAUGAAUGGCAUGCCAUUUGCAAGAAUAUGGACAGAACUAAAGGGUAUUAUGCUAAAUGGAAUAAACCAGAUGAAGAAAGACAAAUACCAUAUGAUUUCACUUAUAUGUGGAACUAAAAAGUCAAACAAAAAAUAGACUCUUAAAUACAGAAAACAAACUGAUGGUUUAUUCAGAGGCAGGAAAUGGGUGCAAUAGGUAAAGACUAAGAGGUACAAACUUUCAUUUAUAAAAUGAAUAAGUCAUAAAAACGAAAAGUACAGCACAGGGAAUAUAGUCAAUAGUACUGUAAUGACUUUGCACAGUGCCCGAUGAGGACUACACUUGUCAUGGUGAGCACUAAGUAAUGUAUAGAAUCAGUGUUACCUGAAAUGAAUACCACACUGAAUGUUAGUCAUACUUCAGUUUUAAAAAGAAAGAGAAACCUUGGAAUAUUAAAUAAAAUCAAAUGUGGGUCUUUAAAAGUUAAUGUUGGCUGUGAUGUGAAAUGUUUUUAGGGGGCAGGAUUAGAAGUAAAACAUCCAGGAAAAUAACCAGUGCUGUUGUCCCAAUUGAAAGUUGAUGGAGGCUUCCACCAGCAUGAAACCAACUAAAGUAAAAUAAAAUAAAAUAAGUUUAUUACCAUUUCCCCAAGAUGGGUUAAAAGAGAGUAGCUGAUUAAUUGAGUACCUUUUAGAAAUGAUAGACUUUAAUCUCUGUAAACAAGUAUUGUUCGAAGUGUGGGUCCUGGCUCACUAGCAUUACGUGGAGGAGUGUUGGAAAUGAAUGUUUUUAGGCCCAACCCCAGAGAUACUGAGUCUGAAAUUCUGGGGUUUGAGGCCCACUGUUUGCAUUUUAACAAACAUUCCAGUUGAUUUCAACACAAGGUAAAGUUUGAGAACCAUGCUGUGACUAAACUUGAGAGAAUGUCAAUUACACAAAUCCAUACACAUGAUUUAAGGAUUCCAAAGCAGAAGGUUGAGACAUAAACAUGAAUAUGGAAGUGAUCAGCAUAUAAAUACCAUUUAAAAGCAAAGAAAUGGUUGAAAUGACCUAUAUUGAGAAGGACAAGAAAAAAGUGCCAAGACUGAGAUCAAGAUUUCUAAUUUUUGAUAGUCUGUGAAAAAGGAACACCCAGAGAGACAGGAGGAAAGUGAGGGAUGUAAUAUAUACCAUGAAAGUUAAGUGAAGAAAGAUAUUUUAUUUUAUUUUUAUUUAUUUUUUUAUUUUUUUAAGAAAAGGAUUUUAAAAGGAGAAACAUAAAUAGUAUUCAUGGAAGCUGAGAAAUUGAGCACACCAUAGAAAGCACCGUGCAGGGUACUGGUUAAUGUUAAGUGGCUCUCUGGGGGCAAAAAAGGAAAACAAAAGCAAAUUAGCAAUGUUUGCCAAUUUCUACUUUGUAAUUCCCAGAAUGGUGAUCUUCAAGCUACCAACCUGACAUCACUGUACAGUGUAGAUUUGCCAAGAAAUAUAUAGCAGCCCAUUAUAUAGUAUUUCUGCCGUAUAUAUGCAUUACAUACAAAAUACCCUCAAAAAUGUAGACGAUAGCAAAAUGUAGUAAAAUAAUUAGAAACAAAUGCGUUUUUAAUAUUAAUUGAUGUUUUAUACAAUAUGUAAUUAUAAAUAUGUAGUUAAUUUAAUAAUGGCUGUGUUUGACACCCGCCUUGAAAAAUUUCUGAAAAUUUAGUAAUCUUGAAAAAUUCUGAGAAUUUACUAAUCUUUCCUAAGCCAGUAGGAAACAACUCCUGCAAUCAUUGCUAACAUAUAUAAGGCUUCAAGUGAGGUUUUCUCCAAAUCCUAUGAACCCCUUAGUGUACUUACACACACCUUAUUUGUUAGCUCUGUAUCAUCUACUCAAUUUGUGCUGUUCAAAAGUCCAAGUCAUGUCUCACUGUGUAAUAUAUAUCCUUAAAUCAAAGAGCACAUAUCUAAACAUGUAACAGUUUCC